rnacentral:misc_RNA from 1 species
UGCUUUUGAAAGAUCCCUAAAGCGGGUAUUUGAUUCUAAUUAGCGAAAUUGUUGCACAACGGUUCAUGUUCUAGUAAUACUUUGUUUAGUAUACUAUAGCAGAGAGCAAAAAGCGUUCGAGUCAGAGUUAUGGAUGCGCGAACGAAGGGUACUUAGUCUAAAGUGCUAGAGAUGCGAAAGAAGAAUGUUUGAAGAGCUCGCGAUUAUGCACGACUAUUCAAGGCUGCGGUGUACGUGUCUCAAUGUCCGUGUCACACUGAACGAAAGAGAACUCGAGGGAGAAUUAGAGGAAAAAGAAAUGGUUGGGAACGUGUGUCUCGUGGUGCGGAUUGAUGCAUACUUCUACGGUGCUGAUUCGCAACCUUGCCCCGACUACAGGCUGAAAUAAUUCUUAGUAGUGUGAACACGCGAUUACAAUAUUUCGGAACAAUUCUUCGAUGUGACGAU